rnacentral:tRNA from 1 species
GGGUCGCUAGUUCAGUGGUAGAACGCUUUCCUGAUAAGAAAGAGGUCCUAAGUUCGAUUCUUAGGCGACCCACAA